AACGGUCUAUACCUGCGGUACCUGCGGAAGGAUCAUUAUCAAUUUACAGCGGACUUCGGUCCUGUCUGCACCCUUGUCUUUUGCGUACUAUAUGUUUCCUCGGUGGGCUUGCCUGCCGAUAGGACACUUAUAAACUCUUUUGUAAUUGCAAUCAGCGUCAGAAAACUAUAAUAGUUACAACUUUCAACAAUGGAUCUCU
rnacentral:misc_RNA from 1 species